rnacentral:rRNA from 1 species
UUCCUACGGGGGGCAGCAGUGGGGAAUAUUGCACAAUGGGGGAAACCCUGAUGCAGCGACGCCGCGUGAGUGAAGAAGUAUUUCGGUAUGUAAAGCUCUAUCAGCAGGGAAGAAGUUGACGGUACCUGAGUAAGAAGCCCCGGCUAACUACGUGCCAGCAGCCGCGGUAAUACGUAGGGGGCAAGCGUUAUCCGGAUUUACUGGGUGUAAAGGGAGCGUAGACGGCAGUGCAAGUCUGAAGUGAAAGCCCCGUGCUUAACCCGGGAACUGCUUUG